CAUUUCACUUUCGUUCCAUUGAUUCCAAAUCCAUCGAACUCGAAUCGAACUUGAAGCGCAGCCACCGCUAGCCUUCCUUCACGAAUCACCACUCAGCCACCGCCACGCCAAAGCAUCAAAGACAGAACUCUCCAGCCUUCCUUCACAAUUCCUUCACGAAUCGUCUCCGACUCUUGCGAUCUCUCUCUCUCUCGGGCGAUUUUCUUUCACAGACAGAACUCUCGAUCCAGCACCGAUUCCGAGUCUCACUCUCACCCCAAACUAGGGAGAAGUGUUAGCAUGUUUAGCAUUGCUGUAGCAACUGAGGAGUUAAUCAUUCCACCUGUUCAAACUUCAAAUUAGUCACACGCUGCGUCAGAUAAUAUUUUUGUUUUGGCUAUAGAAUCUUAGAUACAUGGUCUUGCUUUAAUGUUUGAUAGCAAAUCAAGUUUUGUAAUUCUGUGCACAGAUUGGCAUAUUCUAGGUAGAUACUUAACUGGGCCUUGCCAUUUAAUUGGCAUAUUUGUGCACAGAUUAGUAGAAACAAGACAUGACGUUACAAAGUCUGUAGGUUUGCCAACCCCUAUAUUAGAAACGAGCUGGUUUUUAUUUUCUUGGAAUAUAUUUCUAUGUUGAAUGCUCAGAUUUUCUUGAAUAUAUUUGUAUGUUGAAUGCUAAUAUUUUUGCUUUUGGAUUUGGUACUUAA